UGGGGUGUAGCUCAGUGGUAGAAUACUUGCCUAUAGAAGGCCCUGGGUUCAAUCCCCAGUACCUCAU
rnacentral:tRNA from 1 species